UAGGGAAUCUUCGGCAAUGGACGAAAGUCUGACCGAGCAACGCCGCGUGAGUGAAGAAGGUUUUCGGAUCGUAAAACUCUGUUGUUAGAGAAGAACAAGGACGUUAGUAACUGAACGUCCCCUGACGGUAUCUAACCAGAAAGCCACGGCUAACUACGUGCCAGCAGCCGCGGUAAUACGUAGGUGGCAAGCGUUGUCCGGAUUUAUUGGGAGUAAAGCGAGCGCAGGCGGUUUCUUAAGUCUGAUGUGAAAGCCCCCGGCUCAACCGGGGAGGGUCAUUGGAAACGGGGAGACUUGAGUGCAGAAGAGGAGAGUGGAAUUCCAUGAGUAGCGGUGAAAUGCGUAGAUAUAUGGAGGAACACCAGUGGCGAAGGCGGCUCUCUGGUCUGUAACUGACGCUGAGGCUCGAAAGCGUGGGGAGCAAACAGG
rnacentral:rRNA from 1 species